AAAUUGAAGAGUUUGAUCAUGGCUCAGAUUGAACGCUGGCGGCAGGCCUAACACAUGCAAGUCGAACGGUAACAGGAAGAAGCUUGCUUCUUUGCUGACGAGUGGCGGACGGGUGAGUAAUGUCUGGGAAACUGCCUGGUGGAGGGGGAUAACUACUGGAAACGGUAGCUAAUACCGCAUAACGUCGCAAGACCAAAGAGGGGGACCUUCGGGCCUCUUGCCAUCGGAUGUGCCCAGAUGGGAUUAGCUAGUAGGUGGGGUA
rnacentral:rRNA from 1 species